rnacentral:rRNA from 1 species
UACGAAGGGGGCUAGCGUUGCUCGGAAUCACUGGGCGUAAAGCGCACGUAGGCGGCUUUUUAAGUCAGGGGUGAAAUCCUGGAGCUCAACUCCAGAACUGCCUUUGAUACUGGGAAUCUCGAGUCCGGGAGAGGUGAGUGGAACUGCGAGUGUAGAGGUGAAAUUCGUAGAUAUUCGCAAGAACACCAACGGCGAAGGCAGCCCGCUGGGACGGUACUGACGCUAAGGCGCGAAAGCGUGGGGAGCGAACAGG